rnacentral:lncRNA from 1 species
ACACUGAUCUGCAGAGAUUCAGAACAAAUUCUCUCCCCAAAGACAUUUUUCGCCUAAUUUCCAGGCUCAAAUCAUUCAGCCAUGCAAAUAAAGGAACAUAAUCUGAUGGAUCACAAAAACAGGAAAAAGAAUCAAGCCAUGAAUGCACCCUGGUACAGUAAUUUUCAUGCCAAAAUGUUAGAUUUUGGUUUUAUAUGUGAAUCUGAAUGAUGAAGGUGCAGAAGAAUUUUGGACUGAUAUGACAGCAAGAGCAAAAUGAAGAGAGAGGUUUGCAAAUCUGAAAGAAUGUUACUCUGAACAUUGAAUCAUCAUAUUCAUCACUUUGAGCUAGUGAGCUCAGAAAGGACAAAAUAUAACCGUUCGAGGGAGAGAGUUUUGCAAUUCAACUCAAUCUCAACCAGUCAUCUUACAACUUAAGAGAUUAAGACACAUGACAGUUACUAAGACCUAUAAGACUUAAUAAGCAAAAUACAAUUCAAAUGAUUAGCCUGCCAAUAUAAGCACAGACUAAUUUCACAUAUAAAUAAGUACAUCAAUUUAUAAUCCAACACUCCCCUUUAAAUUGUGGACUGAUUUUACUCCAAGAAGCUCUCUGAGAUGAUUGAAGUGACCCUUUGCUAAAGCUUUUGUGAAUAUAUCUGCAACCUGCUCCUUGGUUGGGAAAUAGACCAAAUCAAUCACUCCUUUCUGCAAAGCUUCCUUAAGAAAUGAUACCUCCUAUUCAUGUGCUUGGUUUUUUGAUGGAAUAUGGGAUUCUUAAGAGAUGAAUAUUGCUGAAGUGUUGUCACAAUUGAGUUGCCUCAGUUUCAACUUCUCCAAAAUCCUCUAAAAACAAACCUUAGCCAAGUAGCUUAAGUUGUAGCUUUUGCAGCAUUUAUGUUCUCUGCUUCUGCAGUUGACAGUGCUAUGCAAUGUUGCUUAACAGAGGCCCAUGAAAACAUUCCACUUCCAAAGGUGAAAGCAUAACCGGAUGUGCUGCUCAACAUCUUCAGAGCCACUCCAAUCACUGUCGCAGAAUCCAAUUAGUAUGGCUCCUUUUCCUUUCUUCUACUCCAAGCCAAAAUCCAAAGUCCCUUGAAUAUAUCUUAGAACUCUCUUUGCAGUUCCAAAAUGUUCGUUUGAGGGACAACGUAUGAAUCUAGCUAGCAAACAGGCAACAUACAUUAUGUCUGGCCUUGUUGCAUUAAGGUAUACCAGGCUACCAACAACCUUUCUAUAUUGAGCUUCAGCAGCAGCACCACUAUCAUCUUCUUUCCUUAAUUUGUCACUAGGAACUAAUGGUGUGCUCAUAGGUUUACAAUGUUGAAGACCAAACCUUUUGAACAGUGAGGAAGCAGAUUUACUUUGAUGAAUGAAAAUGCUUGCCUCAGUUUGUAUUACUCCCGUGCCAAGAAAAUGGUGUAGAAGCCCAAGAUUAGUCAUCUCCUUUAUUAAGUCCUGACUGCUUCCAAUAUAAAUGAUAUCAUCAACAUAGAUAGACACUAUGAGAAUUUCUGCACCAUCUGUACUUUUGGUAUACAAGGUUGCUUCACUAGUUCUUUUCUUGAACCCACACUGACCCAAAUAGGAAUCAAUCUCUCUAUACCAGGCGCUUGGUGCCUGUUUCAAACCUUAUAGAGCCUUGUACAAUUUGUAAAUCUUGUUUUCUUCUCCUUUCACAAGGAACCCCUCUAGCAGAUCAACAUAAAACUUUUGUAGACUUAACAUCCAGCUAAAACAACUUCCAAUUCUUCUGUGCAGCUAGAGCAACGAGGGUCCAGAUUGUGUCCAAUCUAGCUACAGGAGCAAAAGUUUCAUGAAGUCAACUCCUAGCUCUUAUGCAUAUCCCUUUGCCACCAGCCUUGCCUUGUUCUUUUGCACCGAACCAUACAGGUUGAAUUUGGUUUUCUACACCCAUUUAACUUGAAUAAUAGGUUUAUCCAUUCGUCUGUUCACCCGUUCCCAAGUAUUGUUCUUCUCAAUCAUGUCCAUUUCUUCCUCCAUUGCUUUUGUCAAUGAAUCAUAUUGUGCAACAUCUUCAAAAUUUUCAUGCUCAACAAUGCAGAGACUGCAGUGUUGACAAAUCUCAUUUAAGUUUCUCCAUCUCAAGGGGGUUGAAUCAUAACUCUCUGAAUCUAGCAGACCAGUCUGUGAACUAGUAACUGGACUUUGUCAACUAGAAGAUUCACUGAGUGUUGAUGAUGACAAAGGAGUUGUGGCAAAAGGUUGACAUUGCUGCACUGGCAUAGCAAUUCCUUCAGUCUCACUCAAUUCCAUAAAAUCAGUAGAAAUGAGCGGAACACAUAUCUCCUUGACUUUAAGUUUCUUCCAGUCCCAUUUUCCAUUCUCAUAAAAAAUCACAUCUCUAGAGAUGGUCACUUUCUGUAUUGCAGGAUUAAACACUGUAGCCUUUUUCAUAGCCUUUUUCAUGAGUUCCAUAGCCAAUAAAGAUGUCUUUAGCACUUGUCUCCUCCAAUUUGUGUCUCAAAUUGUUUAGUGUGUAUGUAUAACACACCGAACGAAACACUUUGAGACAUUUAAUCCCUGGUUUUCUCCCACUGAACAUCUCAAAUGGUGUCACAUUCUCUAGAGCUUUUGUAGGCCAUCAAUUCAGCAUAUACACAACAGUGUUUACUGCUUCACCCCAGAGGUUGUAUGAAAGAUCCUUCUCAUGCAACAUUUAGCCAUCUCAAUUAUUGAUCUGUUCUUUCUAUACAACUCCAUUUUGUUGUGGAGUGUAAGCAACAGUGAGUUGCCUUUCCAAGCCUAGAGACUCACACAAUCCAAGGAAUUCAUUUGAAGUGAACUCCCCACCUCUAUCUGUCCUCAGCCUUUUCAGAAAGUAACCACUUUGUAAUUCCACCAUGGCCUAGAGUUUCUUGAAGAUAAAACACAUCUGACUUGUUCCUCAAGCAGAUCCAACACAUUCUUGAACAGUCAUCAAUGAAUGGAAGGAAAUACCUAUUCCCACUCAUUGUUGGAACUUGCAUAAGGCCACGCACAUCUGAGUGCACUAACUCAAGUGGCUCCUUUGCUCUCCAGGAUGACUCCUUCAGAAAUGAGUCCUUGAUGUUCCUAUAGCACAACCAUGGCAUAAUCAUCUGUCUCCUGAAUUUCAGGUAAGCCUAGCACCAUUUCUAGUUCUUACAAUUGCUUCAAACUCCAGUAAUUCAUGUGCCCAAAUCUUCUAUGCCAAAGUGUAGCACUCUGAUGAACAUUGGUUCUCAAUGGAAGUUGAUGACCAGUGGAAACACGUAUUCCCCUUUGUUUUACACUCACAACCAAGUUUGUCAAUGACUAGUCAUCAAACACAUCCACCUGUAGUCUCCAAAUAACAGAAAAUUCCAUGUUCUGUCAUCUGUCCAACACUAAACAAAUUCUCUGCAAGUCCAGGUACCAUCAUCACUUCUUUUAUGUAACUCUUGCCUUUCAUUGUGUCAAUGACCAGUGUUCCUUUUCGUUUCACAUCAACCAAGACUCCUGUACCAACUUGUACUUAUUCUUGUUUAUGUCAAUAUUCACAAGCAGGUCUUCCCUUGAGGUCAUAUGAUUGCUGCAUCCACUUCUAUGUACCACACACAUCACAGUUUUUCUUCACAUUAUUUGAGUGACUGGCAUAGAACAAAUUUCCAGUAAAACUGACCUGCUGCAUAACUUUGUUGAGGUUGCGGUUCUUAGCUACAACAACAACAACAAAGCCUUUUCCCACUAAGUGGGGUCGGCUAUAUGAAUCCUAGAACGCCAUUGCGCUCGGUUUUGUGUCAUGUCCUCCGUUAGAUCCAAGUAAUCAAGUCUUUUCUUAGGGUCUCUUCCAAAGUUUUCCUAGGUCUUCCUCUACCCCUUCGGCCCUGAACUUCUGUCCCGUAGUCACAUUUUCGAACCGGAGCGUCAGUAGGCCUUCUUUGCACAUGUCCAAACCACCGGAACCGAUUUUCUUUCAUAUUUCCUUCAAUUUUGGCUACUCCUACUUUACCUUGGAUAUCCUCAUUCCCAAUCUUAUCCUUUCUCGUGUGCCCAUACAUCCCACGAAGCAUCCUCAUCUCCGCUACACCCAUUUUGUGUACGUGUUGAUGCUUCACCGCCCAACAUUCUGUGCCAUACAACAUCGUUGGCCUUAUUGCCGUCCUAUAAAAAUUUUUCCCUUGAGCUUCAGUGGCCUACGACGAUCACACAACACGCCGGAUACACUCUUACACUUCAUCCAUCCAACUUGUAUUCUAUGGUUGAGAUUCUCCAUCUAAUUCUCCGUUCUCUUGCAAGAUAGAUCCUAGGUAGCGAAAACGGUCACUUUUUGUGAUCUUCGUUAGAUUGCUCCGGUCAUUAGUGUGGGAUAAGUAUAUAAAUGGAUAGAGAUAGGAAAGCAAACACAAGAUGUACGUGAUUCACCCAGAUUGGCUACGUCCACGGAAUAGAGGAGUUCUCAUUAAUUGUGAAGGGUUUACACAAGUACAUAGGUUCAAGCUCUCCUUUAGGGAGUACAAGUGAAUGAUUUAGUACAAAUGACAUUAGGAAAUAUUGUGGGAGAAUGAUCUCGUAACCACGAAACUUCUAAGUCCCGGAGUGUGGUAUCGGCUUGACUUUCCUUAUCUAUCUCAUAGGUAGAUGUGGAAUCUUCUCUGGAAGUACUCUUCCUCCAUCCAGGGGUGGUAUCUGUAACUGGUGGAGAUGCACAAGGUAAUGUAUCAAUGUCACUUGAAGCUUACUUGUAGUUUCAGGCUUGGUCAAGCGCGAUACAAACCAUGUAGUAGGAGUCCCCAAGUCGCCGAGCUAGGGGAUCUGCUGAAAGAGGUAACAGACAAGGUAAGCAAUCAGAGCUCCGGCUGAUUGUUCACAUUCUCCCUAUCUUGCAGGCAGCAUGAAGGAUAAAGAGAAGAAAAAUGAGAAGAGAUGAUAUGGGAUACUUUUGCUUUUGAAGAAGUAACUUUCCACAGGCUUAUUCUUGAACUGGGCUGGAGGGUUUUCUGGUUUCCUCCAAAGUAUAAGGCCGACUGAAGAAUUUGAGGGUCAAAACAAGUCCAUCAAAUCUAGAGUACGUUCGACCCUGCUGAUAUGGGAUACUUUUGCUUUUGACAGAGUAGUGGAUGUAUCGGCACGUGUGCUGUUACGCUUGUCUCCACAUGCUUCCUUGUAUCCUUUUCACUUGCCCUAUCUGUUCCUCAGGCAGAUGCGGUAUCUUCCUUGGAAGCAUAAGAUGUUGAAGAUGAGUACUCGAGAGCAAUGCCAGGGUAAGGGGUUCCAGGCAGUCAGUUCCUGGUUGGAAGCUUGAUUCCAAGUGCUGACUGAUUGCUCUCUUUCUCCUUGUCUUGCAGGUAAGAACAAGGCCAAAGGAAAAGACAGGGAAAAAGCAUGAUAUGGGAUACUCUUGCUUUUAACCCUGAUGAUAUGAGAUAUUCUUGCUCUAGUAUAGCUUGUUUACAGAGGUAUUAUCGGGGGGAAAGAAAGCUGAAUAUUUCGAAAGGCUUCGUUGGGAGUGCCCUCUCAGAUAAGAGGAAGGGUUGAGCAUUUUUGCAGAUCUGCCUGUCCGUUGGGAAUGGAGGUCGACAUAUAUAGGAGUCUCCCUAACAUCAAGUAAUAAUGCUAUUCCUUUACCCUGCUUGGUCAUAGCACGGUAGUGGGAGCUGCCAGCUUCACAAGUUUUAACUCUGUCAGAGCACUUUGAAAAAGUGGUCUGUGGUAUCUGGAAAGCUGAUGUUGCGUGUGAAGAUUACAGACAAGCUUUAUCCAAGGAGAUCCGGCUCUUGAAGUUGGGAAAGUGGUGCCUCUUCGAUUUUCGAACAAGCAAUCCUGUCGGGGAUCUGGCUCUCGAGAUUCGGAGAACGAUGCCUCUUCGAUUUUUGAGAAAGCAAUCAUGCUGGGGGUCUGGCUCUCGAGAUUUGGAGAGCGGUGUCUUCGAUUUUUGAGAAAGUAAUCAUGUUGGGAGUUGGGAAUGUUUUCUCGAAUAUGAGUAAAGGUUGGGCAUGUUUGCUAGUCUACCUUGCCACGAAGCACAGAGGUUUGACACACAGGGACUUUCCAAUUAUCCAGCAGUGGUACUGUUCCUUUAACCCUCUCUUCGAUUUUUGAGAAAGUAAUCAUGUUAGGAGUCUGGCUCUCGAGAUUCGGAGGGCGGUGCCUCUUCGAUUUUUGGAGCAAGCAAUCUUGUUGGGGUGUUUUUCUCGAAUGUGAGUAAAGGUUGGGCAUGUUUGCUAGUCUACCUUGCCAUGAAGCACAGAGGAUGACACACAGGGACUUUCAAAUUAUCCAGCAGUGGUACUGUUCCUUUACCCUCUCUUCGAUUUUUGAGAAAGUAAUCAUGUUGGGAGUCUGGCUCUCGAGAUUCGGAGGGCGAUGCCUCUUCGAUUUUGGGGCAAGCAAUCUUGUUGGGAGUGUUUUCUCGAAUGUGAGUAAAGGUUGGGCAUGUUUGCUAGUCUACCUUGCCAUGAAGCACAGAGGUUGACACACCGGGACUUUCCAAUUAUCCAGCAGUGGUACUGUUCCUUUACCCUUGUGGGUAAUAAUAUGGUAGCUAGGCCGUCAAAAUUUAUGUGUCUAAACUUUGUUAGUGUUGUUUCUUUGCUAUUCUUUUUACCCUUCUUGGUCAGAGCGAUGUAGUGAGAGUUGCAAGCUUCACGUGUCUCGACUUUGUCAGAGAACUUUGGCAAAGUUAUAUGUGGUACCCAUGAGCUACUGUUGCGUGUGGGAAGUGGGUGAUUGAACAGUACGAUUCAUGUGCUUUCUACUUCGCCAGAAAUCUUCGACAGAAUGCCCAUAAUUUCCGCAAAGCUGAGUGUGCGUGUGACAGGUGCUGACAAGGCUGGAAAAGUAGUCUCAACUUUGUCAGAGGACUUUGGCAAAGUUAUAUGUGGUACCCAUGAGCUACUGUUGCGUGUGGGAAGUGGUGAUUGAACAGUACGAUUCAUGUGCUUUCUACUUCGCCAGAAAUCUUCGACAGAAUGGCCAUAAUUUCCGCAAAGCUGAGUGUGCGUGUGACAGGUGCUGACAAGGCUGGAAAAGUAGGUGCCUCUUCGAUUUCUGAGAUCGACCCUCGUGGUCUCUGAGCAGCCCAGCUUUUGAGAAAGCAAACCUCUUCGAUUUCUGAGAUCGGCCCUCGUGGUCUCUGAGCAGCCCAGCUUUUGAGAAAGCAAACCUCUUCGAUUUCUGAGAUCGGCCCUCGUGGUCUCUGAGCAGCCCAGCUUUUGAGAAAGCAAACCUCUUCGAUUUCUGAGAUCGGCCUUCGUGGUCUUUGAGCAGCCCAGCUUUUGAGAAAGCAAACGCCUCUUCGAUUUCUGAGAUCGACCCUCGUGGUCUCUGAGCAGCCCAGCUUUUGAGAAAGCAAACGCCUCUUCGAUUUCUGAAGCUUCGUCGAGUGCAGAUUUUUAUAGAGGCUGACAUUAAGUUCCAAAGCACACUUGAAUAUCCACCAGUAGAAGCUCCAUUCUUGCACUUCUAAGAUCUUGAUUUGUCCGACCUCUUCUCUUUUCUACAUCUUUGAAAAUGUCUGGCCCCUCCGACCGUCGUUUUGACUUGAACCUUGUUGAAGAGGCAGCCCCGCCUUCUCCAGACAACAUAUGGCGCCCAUCCUUCGUCUCCCCUACUGGUCCUCUUACCGUUGGGGAUUCCGUGAUGAAGAAUGAUAUGACCGCUGCGGUAGUGGCCAGGAACCUUCUCACUCCCAAAGAUAACAGACUACUUUCUUUCCAAACGGUCUGAUGAGUUGGCUGUUAAGGAUUCUCUGGCUCUUAGUGUUCAGUGUGCAGGUUCUGUGUCUAAUAUGGCCCAACGCCUAUUUGCUCGAACCCGCCAAGUUGAAUCAUUGGCGGCUGAAGUGAUGAGUCUCAAGCAGGAGAUUAGAGGGCUCAAGCAUGAGAAUAAACAGUUGCACCGGCUCGCACAUGACUAUGCUACAAACAUGAAGAGGAAGCUUGACCAGAUGAAGGAAUCUGAUGGUCAGGUUUUACUUGAUCAUCAGAGAUUUGUGGGUUUGUUCCAAAGGCAUUUAUUGCCUUCGUCUUCUGGGGCUGUACCGCGUAAUGAAGCUCCAAAUGAUCAACCCUCUGAUGCCUCCUCCUUCUAGGGUUCUGUCCAGUACUGAGGCUCCGAAUGAUCCCCCUCCGGUGCCUUCUCUUUCUGGGGCUCUACCGACUGCCGAGACUUCUCCUAAGCAACCUUUGUGAAGGCUCCCUCUUGUUUGUUUAUUUUGACUCAAGUAUAUGUACAUAUUUUUGUAAUUUAUCGGGGAUAUCAAUAAAUAAGCUUCCCUUCAUUUCAACGUAUUAUGUUAAAUCACCAAAGCCUUCUUCGCUAAGUUCUUUGAAUUUUCUUUUGUUGAAGCUUGUAUGUUGGAGCUUUGUGAGUGAGUGGAGCAUGUAGGUUGAGGUAGUGUUCCCUUAAUUUCCCGAGCGAGGACAACUUCUCGGUUGGAGACUUGGAAAAUCCAAGUCACUGAGUGGGAUCGGCUAUAUAUGAAUCUUAGAACGCCAUUGUGUUCUGUCCUGUGUCAUGUCCUCCGUUAGAUCCAAGUACUCUAAGUCUUUUCUUAGGGUCUCUCUCAAAGUUUUCCUGGGUCUUCCUCUACCCCUUCGACCCUGAACCUCUGUCCCAUAGUCGCAUCUUCUAAUCGGAGCGUCAGUAGGCCUUCUUUGCACAUGUCCAAACCACCGUAACCGAUUUUCUCUCAUCUUUCCUUCAAUUUCGGCUACUCCUACUUUACCCCAGAUAUCCUCAUUCCUAAUCUUAUCCUUUCUCGUGUGCCCACACAUCCAACGAAGCAUCCUCAUCUCCGCUACACCCAUUUUGUGUACGUGUUGAUGCUUCACCGCCCAACAUUCUGUGCCAUACAGCAUCGCCGGCCUUAUUGCCGUCCUAUAAAAUUUUCCCUUGAGCUUCAGUGGCAUACGGCGGUCACACAACACGCCGGAUGCACUCUUCCACUUCAUCCAUCCAGCUUGUAUUCUAUGGUUGAGAUCUCCAUCUAAUUCUCCGUUCUUUUGCAAGAACGAUCCUAGGUAACGAAAACGGUCGCUCUUUGGUAUUUCUUGAUCUCCGAUCCUCACCCCUAACUCGUUUUGGCCUCCAUUUGCACUGAACUUGCACUCCAUAUAUUCUGUCUUUGAUCGGCUUAGGCGAAGACCUUUAGAUUCCAACACUUCUCUCCAAAGGUUAAGCUUUGCAUUUACCCCUUCUUGAGUUUCAUCUAUCAACACUAUAUCGUCUGCGAAAAGCAUACACCAAGGAAUCAUCUUGAAUAUGUCCUGUUAACUCAUCCAUUACCAACGCAAAAAGGUAAGGACUUGAGGAUGAGCCUUGAUGUAAUCCUACAGUUAUGGGAAAGCUUUCGGUUUGUCCUUCAUGAGUUCUUAUGGCAGUCUUUGCUCCUUCAUACAUAUCCUGUAUAGCUUGGAUAUAUGCUACUCGUACUCCUUUCUUCUCUAAAAUCCUCCAAAGAAUGUCUCUUGGGACCCUAUCAUAUGCUUUUUCCAAAUCUAUAAAGACCAUGUGUAAAUCCUUUUUCCCAUCUCUAUAUCUUUCCAUCAAUCUUCGUAAGAGAUAGAUUGCCUCCAUGGUCGAGCGCCCUGGCAUGAACCCGAAUUGGUUGUCCGAAACCCGUGUCUCUUGCCUCAAUCUAUGCUCAACGACUCUCUCCCAGAGCUUCAUUGUAUGACUCAUUAGCUUAAUACCCCUAUAGUUCAUGCAAUUUUGUACAUCGCCCUUAUUCUUGUAGAUAGGCACCAAAGUGCUCGUUCGCCACUCAUUUGGCAUCUUCUUCGUUUUCAAAAUCCUAUUGAAAAGGUCAGUGAGCCAUGUUAUACCCGUCUCUCCCAAAACUUUCCACACUUCGAUUGGUAUAUCGUCUGGGCCUACUGCUUUUGUAUGCUUCAUCUUCUUCAAAGCUACAACCACUUCUUCCUUCCGGAUUCGACAAUAAAAAGAGUAGUUUCUACACUCUUCUGAGUUACUCAACUCCCCUAAAGAAGCACUCCUUUCAUGUCCUUCAUUGAAAAGAUUAUGAAAAUAACCUUUCCAUCUGUCUUUAACCGCGUUCUCUGUAGCAAGAACCUUUCCAUCCUCAUCCUUGAUGCACCUCACUUGGUUUAGGUCCCUUGUCUUCUUUUCCCUUGCUCUAGCUAGUUUAUAGAUAUCCAACUCUCAUUCUUUGGUAUCUAGUCGUUUAUACAUAUCGUCAUAAGCCGCUAACUUAGCUUCUCUCACAGCUUUCUUCGCCUCUUGCUUCGCUUUUCUAUACCUUUCACCAUUUUCAUCGGUCCUAUCCUUGUAUAAGGCUUUACAACAUUCCUUCUUAGCCUUCACCUUUGUUUAUACCUCCUCAUUCCACCACCAAGAUUCCUUUUGGUGUGGGGCAAAGCCCUUGGACUCUCCUAAUACCUCUUUUGCUACUUUUCGGAUACAACUAGCCAUGGAAUCCCACAUUUGGUUAGCUUCCCCCUCUCUAUCCCACACACACUGGGUGGUUAUUUUCUCUUUGAAAAUGGCUUGUUUUUCUUCUUUUAGAUUCCACCAUCUAGUCCUUGGGCACUUCCAAGUCUUGUUCUUUUUUCUCACUCUUUUGAUAUGUACAUCCAUCACCAACAAGCGAUGUUGAUUAGCCACGCUCUCUCCUGGUAUAACUUUGCAAUCCUUACAAGUUAUACGAUCCCUUUUCCUCAUUAGAAGAAAAUCUAUUUGUGUUUUUGACGACCCACUCUUGUAGGUGAUCACAUGUUCUUCCCGCUUCUUAAAGAAGGUGUUGGCUAAGAAGAGAUCAUAUGCCAUUGCAAAAUCCAAGAUAGCUUCCCCAUCCUCGUUUCUCUCCCCAAAACCAUGGCCACCAUGAAAACCUCCAUAGUUGCCUGUCUCCCUGCCCACGUGUCCAUUUAAAUCUCCUCCUAUAAAUAACUUCUCCGUCUGAGCAAUUCCUUGCACCAAGUCUCCAAGGUCUUCCCAAAAUUUCUCCUUCGAACUCGUAUCCAACCCUACUUGAGGUGCGUACGCACUAAUCACAUUGAUAAGUUCUUGUCCUAUUACAAUCUUGAUUGCCAUGAUUCUAUCUCCUACCCUCUUGACAUCUACAACAUCUUGUGUCAAGGUCUUGUCCAUGAUGAUGCCAACACCGUUUCUCGUUCUAUUUGUGCUCGAAUACCAUAGUUUAAACCCUGAGUUUUCUAGAUCCUUUGCCUUACGCCCAACCCACUUAAUUUCUUGUAGGCACAUAAUAUUUAUCCUUCUCCUCACCAUAACUUCUACUACUUCCAUAGAUUUUCCCGUCAAGGUUCCUAUAUUCCACGUUCCUAAACGCAUUUUGCUCUCUUGAACUCUACCCUUCUGUCCUAGCUUCUUCACCCUUCCCCGUCUAAUAGGAUCAAAGUACUUCUUUUGUGUGUCCCGUGUAAAGUUGAUAGGAGCAUAUGCUCCCAAACAACUUUGAGUGGAGUCGUUCGAAAAGAAGUUUCUAUAGCCCCCUUGCUCAUUUAACACUGCAUCCGGGUGCCGAUGGAGAUACAGCGACCCUUGCUCACUUAUCACUGUGCUCGGGCCACACAGCGCGCCACUUACGGGUGACGCCCUAGCUUUAGCGCGAUUUCGUUCUGGAUUCAUUUUCAUAAGGAUUCGACGUGAUCAUGGAGUGCCGGCUGUCGACUACCUGACGCCCUCCCCCUCCUCCUUUAUCCGGGCUUGGGACCGGCAAUGUAAGAUAAACUUACACGGCGGAGUUUGCGGUUCUUAGCUAAAUGAACAAAUUUACUGCACUUGUGACAUUUAGGUUUACCCUUGAAGCAACACUCCAUAGUGCAGUUUAUCACAAUGUUUACAUGCCCCCUUUUCUGCAGUGCCAAUUAAUUCAUUCUUCA